rnacentral:misc_RNA from 1 species
AACGCACAUUGCGCCCUUUGGUAUUCCUUAGGGCAUGCCUGUUCGAGCGUCAUCUAAACCCUCAAGCACUGCUUGGUGUUGGGCGUCUUUGUCCCGCCUCCGGCGCGGACUCGCCUCAAAAUCAUUGGCGGCCUGUGUAUUGGCUUCGAGCGCAGCAGACUCGCGCGUCGUCUCCUCUUAGCACAGGCGUCCAGUAAGCCUCACCCACUAAGUUUGACCUCGGAUCAGGUAGGGAUACCCGCUGAACUUAA